rnacentral:rRNA from 1 species
AUAGCUGCAGUAUACUGACUGUGCUAAGGUAGCAAAGUCAAUAGUUUCUUAAUUGGAAGCCGGAAUAAAUGAGUUGACGAUACUGAGUUUUUCUAAUCAAAUAGGGGAAAUUGAUAUUUGUAUUAAAAAGUACAACUUUUUGGGUAGACGAGAAGACCCCGUAAAACUUCAUUUUUAGCGGCUGUUCUGAUUUUGAAUUUUUGGGGGGAGCGAAGGAUUGAGCUGGGGCGGCAACUGAUAACACUUUGAGUAGAUAAAACGUUUAUACACGGAACGGAAGAUCUUUAAUAGAGGUAGUAAAAGUUACUUUGGGGAUAACAGCAUUAUUUUUUCCUACAGUUCUGAUGGAAGAAAGAGACUGUGACCUCGAUGUUGAAUUGAGGUACUGAACUGGAGCAGAAACUAGUUUGGGGGGUCUGUUCGACCCUUGAUUCCUCA